rnacentral:rRNA from 1 species
CCUACGGGUGGCAGCAGUGGGGAAUAUUGCACAAUGGGCGAAACCCUGAUCCAGCGACGCCGCGUGAAGGAAGAAGUCUUUCGGUAUGUAAACUUCUAUCAGCAGGGACGAAAAUGACGGUACUUGCCUAAGAAUCCCCGGCUACCUACGUGCCAGCAGCCGCGGUAAUACUUAGGGGGCAACCGUUAUCCGGCUUUACUGGGUGUAAAGGGAGCGUAGGCGGUUUAGCAAGUCAGAAGUGAAAGCCCGGGGCUCAACUCCUGGACUGCUUUUGAAACUGUUGUACUAGAUGGCAGGAGAGGUAGGUGGAAUUCCUAGUGUAGCGGUGAAAUGCGUAGAUAUUAGGAGGAACACCAGUGGCGAAGGCGGCUUACUGGACUGUAAAUGACGCUGAGGCUCGAAAGCGUGGGGAGCAAACAGGAUUAGAUACCCGAGUAGUC